CCCAGUUCAGGUUCACCAUCGCCACUCAUUAUGGGCGCGCUCCCUGCACUCACCGCUUGAAAUGUUCGAUUAUCUUCUCAUCUCGAACGUUUUCGGGCUUUUCUGUGAAAUGAAUGGUUUCUGCAAGAGCUCAAAUGGCCCCAUUGAAAGCCCAAUGGCACAUAUCGCAAAAAAAACUUUCAGUAGGAACAAGUGCGGUUCAUCAAGACAAGGCUGAACAGAAUAGGAGGAAUCUGGAUGGACAUGGAACAGAGAGAGGCACAAGGAACAGGAUGAACCUAGAGUUCUGUAUGGAAUAUAUUUGAUUUUAUCUGUCAGAACAAAGUCCAGGGGAAAAUUCAGAUGCAUGUGGAUAUUGACAAGUCUUUUCCAGCACUGCAGUUGAUAAUGUGUAGUCAAACCACACCUAACAUUAAAUUAGUGGCAGGUCAAGGUGUGUUAUGUAAACAAGGCUGUCUUAAAAGGACCUUGAACUUGUAAUGGGAGCUUGUUUUAAACAAGAAAGUUUUUCAUGCCAGGCUUUUGGAUAUGUGUGGCAGCUUUCUGCUGAUGUCAAAUUAUAACAACUCAUUUCAUCAAGUGAUGAAUAUAUAUUUAUAGCACUGACAUGUUUACGCUUUAUCUCCAUGUAUGCUGUUACCUCUGACAAUUAUGUGCGCAGAUCACUGUACAUAGCACAUGUUCUGCAAAUGCCAGCUCACCCUUUACACAUCAUAUCUGAUUAUUCAAUAAGGGCAGCAGUGCACACACAUCUUUAAAUUAUUUUUCCUCUGUAGGAUCUUAUUGUGCAUCUUUUUUUUUAAAUUUACCUAAAGCAUCAUAUUGUAUUUGUAGGGGUGGCAUGGUUUAGAUAAAUAACUUAAUGAUGCCAUAUUUCAAAUAUAACAGUUUGCCAAAUAGAUGAAGGAUGAUUUUUUUUUUAAUAUGUCUAUGGAUUCUUUCUUGUUUUCUUUCUGAAUCUGUGAUAAUAUUAAAGGGACACUAAAUCCAA